rnacentral:rRNA from 1 species
CCUACGGGAGGCAGCAGUGGGGAAUAUUGCACAAUGGGGGGAACCUUGAUGCAGCAACGCCGCGUGGGUGAAGAAGUACUUCGGUAUGUAAAGCCCUGUCAGCAGGGAAGAAAAUGACGGUACCUGACCCAGAAGCCCCGGCUAACUAAGUGCCAGCAGCCGCGGUAAUACGUAGGGGGCAAGAGUUAUCCGGAUUUACUGGGUGUAAAGGGAGCGUAGACGGCAAGGCAAGUCUGGAGUGAAAGCUCGUGGCCCAAACACGGGACUGCUGUGGAAACUGUGGUGCUGGAGUGCAGGAGGGGUAAGCGGAAUUCCUAGUGUAGCGGUGAAAUGCGUAGAUAUUAGGAGGAACACCGGUGGCGAAGGCGGCUUACUGGACUGUAACUGACGUUGAGGCUCGAAGGCGUGGGGAGCAAACAGGAUUAGAUACCCUAGUAGUC